rnacentral:rRNA from 1 species
AUUGAACGCUGGCGGCAGGCCUAACACAUGCAAGUCGAGCGAGCGGCGGACGGGUGAGUAAUGUAUGGGGACUGCCCGAUAGAGGGGGAUAACUACUGGAAACGGUGGCUAACACCGCAUAAUGUCGGAUAACCCAUAUGGGAUUAGCUAGUAGGUGGGGUAAAGGCUCACCUAGGCGACGAUCUCUAUCUGGUCUGAGAGGAUGACCGGCCAAACUGGGACUGGGACACGGCCCAGAUUCUGACGGAGUCAGCAGUGGGGAAUAUUGCACAAUGGGCGCAAGCCUUAUGCAGCCAUGCCGCGUGUAUGAAGAAGGCCUUAGGGUUGUAAAGUACUUUCAGCGGGGAGGCGUUACCCGCAGAAGAAGCACCGGCUAACUCCGUGCCAGCAGCCGCGGUAAUUC